rnacentral:rRNA from 1 species
GUGAAGGAUUAGCGGCGAACGGGUGAGGAACACGUGAAGAAUCUGCCUUCAACUCUGGGAUAACUCCGGGAAACCGGGGCUAAUACCGGAUAUGAGCCUUGAUCGCAUGAUCGGGGCUGGAAAGUUUUUCGGUUGAAGAUGACUUCGCGGCCUAUCAGCUUGUUGGUGAGGUAAUGGCUCACCAAGGCGACGACGGGUAGCCGGCCUGAGAGGGCGACCGGCCACACUGGGACUGAGACACGGCCCAGACUCCUACGGGAGGCAGCAGUGGGGAAUAUUGGGCAAUGGACGAAAGUCUGACCCAGCGACGCCGCGUGCGGGAUGAAGGCCUUCGGGUUGUAAACCGCUUUCAGCAGGGAAUAAGCGCAAGUGAAGGUACCUGCAGAAGAAGCACCGGCUAACUAUGUGCCAGCAGCCGCGGUAAUACAUAGGGUGCAAGCGUUGUCCGGAAUUAUUGGGCGUAAAGAGCUCGUAGGUGGUUUGUUACGUCGGUUGUGAAAUUCAGGGGCUCAACCCCUGACUUGCAGCCGAUACGGGCAAGCUAGAGUUUGGUAGGGGAGACUGGAAUUCCUGGUGUAGCGGUGGAAUGCGCAGAUAUCAGGAGGAACACCGAUGGCGAAGGCAGGUCUCUGGGCCAAUACUGACACUGAGGAGCGAGAGCGUGGGGAGCGAACAGGAUUAGAUACCCUGAUAGUCCACGCCGUAAACGGUGGGCGCUAGUUGUGCGAACCUUCCACGGUUUGUGCGACGCAGCUAACGCAUUAAGCGCCCCGCCUGGGGAGUACGAUCGCAAGAUUAAAACUCAAAGGAAUUGACGGGGCCCCGCACAAGCAGCGGAGCAUGCGGCUUAAUUCGACGCUACGCGAAGAACCUUUACAAGGCUUGACAUAUACAGGAAUAUGGCAGAGAUGUCAUAG